UGCUCUGUGGUGUUGUGGUUUGAGCUGUUAGACUGCAACUCUAGAGACCAGGGUUUGAGUCCUGGCUGGGCCG